rnacentral:rRNA from 1 species
CAGUAGCCGCGGUAAUACGGAGGGUGCAAGCGUUAAUCGGAAUUACUGGGCGUAAAGCGCACGCAGGCGGUUUGUUAAGUCAGAUGUGAAAUCCCCGAGCUUAACUUGGGAACUGCAUUUGAAACUGGCAAGCUAGAGUCUUGUAGAGGGGGGUAGAAUUCCAGGUGUAGCGGUGAAAUGCGUAGAGAUCUGGAGGAAUACCGGUGGCGAAGGCGGCCCCCUGGACAAAGACUGACGCUCAGGUGCGAAAGCGUGGGGAGCAAACAGGAUUAGAUACCCCAGUAGUCCCUGUCUCUUAUAA